rnacentral:rRNA from 1 species
UACAGAGGGUGCAAGCGUUAAUCGGAAUUACUGGGCGUAAAGCGUGCGUAGACGGUUAUUUAAGUCAGGUGUGAAAGCCCCGGGCUCAACCUGGGAAUUGCAUUUGAGACUGAAUAGCUAGGGUGCGGAAGAGGGAAGCGGAAUUUCCGGUGUGAGCGGUGAAAUGCGUAGAUAUCUGGAGGAAUACCGGUGGCGAAGGCGGUUCUGCUGGGCCUUACCUGACGCUGAGGAGCGAAAGCGUGGGAGCGAACAGG